rnacentral:tRNA from 1 species
UCUCCGGUAGCUCAGUGGUAGAGCACUCGGCUGUUAACCGAUUGGUCGUAGGUUCGAAUCCUACCCGGAGAGCCA